rnacentral:rRNA from 1 species
AAUGCCGCGUGUGUGAGAAGGCCUGCGGGUUGUAAAGCACUUUCAGUGGGGGAGGAAGGCCUCAAUGCUAAUAGUAUUGAGGAUUGACGUUACCCACAGAAGAAGCACCGGCUAACUCUGUGCCAGCAGCCGCGGUAAUACAGAGGGUGCAAGCGUUAAUCGGAAUUACUGGGCGUAAAGGGUGCGUAGGUGGUUUUUUAAGUCAGAUGUGAAAUCCCUGGGCUCAACCUAGGAAUUGCAUUUGAUACUGAAUAACUUGAGUAUGGUAGAGGGAAGUGGAAUUUCCAGUGUAGCGGUGAAAUGCGUAGAUAUUGGAAGGAACAUCAGUGGCGAAGGCGACUUCCUGGACCAUUACUGACACUGAGGCACGAAAGCGUGGGGAGCGAACAGGAUUAGAUACCCUGGUAGUCCACGCCGUAAACGAUGAGAACUAGAUGUUAGGGGGCUUAUACCUCUUAGUAUCGCAGCAAACGCGUUAAGUUCUCCGCCUGGGGAGUACGGCCGCAAGGUUAAAACUCAAAUGAAUUGACGGGG